rnacentral:lncRNA from 1 species
CUUGCUUUAUUGGGUAAGAGAUUGGCUAGCUUACAUUUUAUGAAAUUCUGAUAGUGGGUGACUUUUCAUUCAGUGCUUUCGGGAAGUAUGUACAAAGGAGAUGGAAUACAUACCAUUUACAUUUAAAAAAUAACAUUUUAAACCAUACACUCAAAAUAACCUCUGACUUGCUCAUUGUAAUGUUUACACGAUUGUUUUGGGAAUCUGAUAAAAACUUAUGAUGUAGAUUCUGUUUACUGUUUGUUUUCUGUUUAGGUCGGAGUGGCUAAAAUAAUAUAUUCAUAUUCAAAUCUAGAGGAAUGUUAGGGGAGAGCGAGGUAAGUUGUCACAUGGGUAAGUUGUCAAACUGUUCAUACCUCCAACACUAGAGGCGCUAUCUCAAAAAUCAAAUAGCUACUUUGCGUGACUACAUGUUCUAUGGUCAACUUCCUGUUCAUAUGUGGUCAAGGUCACUCUAAUCUGAGGUGAGCACAAUUUUCUUAUUUUUCCCCUUCAAAAGUAAAAAAGUACAUUUUAUGCAAUGGAACUUUGUUAGGUAUGAAUGUUCAAAAUUAUAAUUUUGCACUGAGUAGUGGAGACAAUAAUGUGCCUUUUGAUAGUUUAGCUGCAGUCCUAUGUUGAGCUAACCUUGAGAUUUAGCCAACAUUAGCACACAUGUCAGUUUGGGGGAAGUUGUCUGAAUGACCUUGUGGCAAGUCGUCACAUGUGACAACUUGCCCCAGUAUACAUCGACACAUAGAACAUGCUCAAAAAACAUUGUGAUAUUGUGUAAUCAGCUCUGAAUGUUACUGUAAAUGGAUUAUUAUAUUUACAUACAGUUUAGAGCAGCAGACAUAUCGCUGGAGUACACAAGACAGGCUCUGGCAUGUGUGUAUAUGUGUGUGUGUGUGUGUGUGUGUGUGUGUGUGUGUGUGUGUGUGUGUGUGUGUGUGUGUGUGUGUGUGUGUGUGUGUGUGUGUGUGUGUGUGUGUGUGUGCAUGCCUACUGUAUGAGACAGUAUAUCCACUUACACACACACACACUACUUCAUACAGUGUCAUGAAUUUAGUGUGGUGUUAUGAAUUGCAUUGUGGCAACAAGGAUAGUAGACAGGGAGGUGGGUGUAAUAAGCCUGUAAUGAAUAUGUAAUUGCAAUGAGGAAAUGUGAUUUUGAAGGAAGGAAGGAA